rnacentral:tmRNA from 1 species
CUUCCAAUAUGGCAGACAAAUGUCUAUAUUGAAGGUGUUGGGCAACCAACUAUAGCGAUAAACGUUUCGUGGAAUAAACGUUGCGGACCCGGGGGCGGUACCCGGCGCCUCCACCAUUUCUAUGGGGGCGAAAUAGGUUCGACGCGCGCAAUAAAGACGUCAUUUUUGCUCGGCAUGAUACCACCGUUACCGGGGUCAAAACUACAAAUGCAAACGAUAAUGAAGCAUUUGCCGUAGCUGCUUAAUUGCACUACACGGGGUUCGGAGGGGCACCUGGCAACAGAAGCCCC